rnacentral:tRNA from 1 species
GGAGAGAUCGCAUAGUCCGGUCUAGUGCGCCACACUCGAAAUGUGGUAUAGGGGCAACCCUAUCGAGGGUUCGAAUCCCUCUCUCUCCGCCA